GACGAACGCUGGCGGCGUGCUUAACACAUGCAAGUCGAACGGAAAGGCCCUGCUUGCAGGGUCCUCGCGUGGCGAACGGGGACGGAACACUUGGGUGAUCUGCCCUGCACUUCGGGAUAAGCCUGGUACACUGGGUCUAAUACCGGAUAGGAGCCCUUUUUAGUGUGAUGGUUGGAAAGUUUUUUGGGUGUAGGAUGAGCUCGCGGCCUAUCAGCUUGUUGGUGUGGUAAUGGCCUACCAAGGCGGCGACGGGUAGCCGGCCUGAGAGAGUGGACGGCCACAUUGGGACUGAGAUACGGCCCAGACUGCUACGGGAGGAAGAAGUGGGGAAGACUGAACAAUGGGCGCAAGCUUGAUGCAGCGACGCCGCGGGGGGGAUGAUGGCCUUCGGGUUGUAAACGCCUUUCGCGAGGGACGAAGCGUUUUGUGACGGUACCUAGAGAAGAAGCACCGGCUAACUACGUG
rnacentral:rRNA from 1 species